rnacentral:sRNA from 1 species
ACACGGGAAAGGAGGUGGUCCGAGGAAUGAGUUCUUCGAGGACGCGUGAGGUGGCUGCCCACUAGCAGCGCACCGCCCAGCCGCGUGAGCGCGCUGGUGAAUUCCAAGCAGUCACCCGACCCGCAGACGAUCCGGGAACACGUCCCCCGGAGCGGCCGAACCCUCGGCCACGUCUGCGGGUCGCCUGCU